CCGCCACAGGUUCUGUAGCCUCGGAGGAUCCCAAGAGUCGCCUUUCCAGCUCCGGGGUGCCUGGGGUGUUCUCGGUCACAGGGGCUCACAAUCCCGGAGAUCUGUGAGCUGAGUUUGACAACACUCACGCGCUUGCGCUGUCUUAAGAUCCUAAAUUGUGAGGUGCCGCGUGAUUUCUCAGGACCAAGCGCUAGGCUUUCGCUUUGGAGAUGGGGUUUUUAGGGUGGACUGCCUCUAAAACUGGGGCCAGACGACAAGCUACUCCUUUUUCUUAGAGAUUUUAUUUCUGCUUUAAUCAUCUAAACGCUCCCGUAGGGAUCCCAUCUUCUAUGCCCUGGGUCGCUACACAUUCUUCACAACGACCUUCUCGGAGAGCUACGCCCACCAGAAGGCAGUGCACACCCGAGAGCACAGGCCCACAGUGCUUGUGGCCUGCACCACCACAACGCUCCUAGCUAGAGUGGAUCGGGUGCCGCUGGUGAGCAACGUGACGCUGGAGGCCCAGGACCUGACUCUGGGCAGCAACUGCUCCGUCUCCACCGUGGAGUCCGGCUACUUUGAAUUUCUUUAUGUUCUGUCUUCCUGUGACAUAAAGAUUUAUGAUCAGGACUUUGGUAUGAUCAUUGAAUCUUCAAUCACAUAUAAUUCGCCGCAUUUCAAUUUUUAUGUCACCAUCCCCAUAUCAUGUUCUGUUCCAAGAAAGUCAUACGUGAAGGCUUCAAUGAAAAGAUCAGGAGCCCCAUGCCGCGUCUUCACAGUGGUGGAGGAGUUCUGGCCUCUGACAGGUGGCAUCCUGUACUCUGGAGUUUCUGUGGCAGUACCAUCGUAAUGAGCAGUUUCCCCUGCUGGGCCGGAGAAAUCGCACUGCUUCCUUUCACGUGGACUGAUUUUCUGAUGAAUUCAGGACCUUGAAGUGCUGAUACCAACCCUGGGCGCUUGAGGGUGUCACUGCUCCUUAGAUUUUGGACAAGUGCUUAUGAGGAGCAUCUUUGACCACUUCAGUGUGACGUUUUACAGUGGAAAUCUUGCUCCUGUCUCCAUAUUUAUGAACUCUUUGGUGGGAAAAGGGCUUCUCUCAACUUUAAAUUUGUGAUGAAAACAAUUUUAAAUAAACUUUUG